UGGGUCAGCGACUUAUAUUCUGUAGCAAGGUUAACCGUAUAGGGGAGCCGAAGGGAAACCGAGUCUUAACCGGGCGUUAAGUUGCAGGGUAUAGACCCGAAACCCGGUGAUCUAGCCAUGGGCAGGUUGAAGGUUGGGUAACACUAACUGGAGGACCGAACCGACUAAUGUUGAAAAAUUAGCGGAUGACCUGUGGCUGGGGGUGAAAGGCCAAUCAAACCGGGAGAUAGCUGGUUCUCCCCGAAAGCUAUUUAGGUAGCGCCUCGUGAAUUCAUCUCCGGGGGUAGAGCACUGUUUCGGCUAGGGGGCCAUCCCGGCUUACCAACCCGAUGCAAACUGCGAAUACCGGAGAAUGUUAUCACGGGAGACACACGGCGGGUGCUAACGUCCGUCGUGAAGAGGGAAACAACCCAGACCGCCAGCUAAGGUCCCAAAGUCAUGGUUAAGUGGGAAACGAUGUGGGAAGGCCCAGACAGCCAGGAUGUUGGCUUAGAAGCAGCCAUCAUUUAAAGAAAGCGUAAUAGCUCACUGGUCGAGUCGGCCUGCGCGGAAGAUGUAACGGGGCUAAACCAU
rnacentral:rRNA from 1 species